rnacentral:rRNA from 1 species
GGGGGGGGGGGGGGGGGGGGGGGGGGCGGGCGGGGCGGGCGGGGGGGGGGGGGGGGCGCGUGGGUGCGGCGGCGGACGGGGGAGGAAUGCCUAGGAAUCUGCCUGGUAGUGGGGGAGAACGUCCGGAAACGGGCGCUAAUACCGCAUACGUCCUGAGGGAGCAAGUGGGGGAUCUUCGGACCUCACGCUAUCAGAUGCGCCUAGGUCGGAUUAGCUAGUUGGUGGGGUAAAGGCCUACCAAGGCGACGAUCCGUAACUGGUCUGAGAGGAUGAUCAGUCACACUGGAACUGAGACACGGUCCAGACUCCUACGGGAGGCAGCAGUGGGGAAUAUUGGACAAUGGGCGAAAGCCUGAUCCAGCCAUGCCGCGUGUGUGAAGAAGGUCUUCGGAUUGUAAAGCACUUUAAGUUGGGAGGAAGGGCAGUAAGUUAAUACCUUGCUGUUUUGACGUUACCAACAGAAUAAGCACCGGCUAACUUCGUG